rnacentral:rRNA from 1 species
UAAUGCUGGAUGCUCCAACUUGACGCAUGUCUUGUUGGGGAAAGUGUUUAGUGGCAUGGGGAUGGGGGUCGCGUCCUAUCAGCUUGUAGGCGGGGUAAUGGCCCACCUAGGCUUCGACGGGUAGCCGGCCUGAGAGGGCGGACGGCCACAUUGGGACUGAGAUACGGCCCAGACUCCUACGGGGAGGCAGCAGUGGGGAAUAUUGCGCAAUGGGGAAACCCUGACGCAGCGACGCCGCGUGCGGGAUGAAGGCCUUCGGGUUGUAAACCGCUUUUGAUUGGGGAGCAAGCCUUUUUGGUGAGUGUACCUUUCGAAUAAGCGCCGGCUAACUACGUGCCAGCAGCCGCGGUAAAU